rnacentral:rRNA from 1 species
AACGAACGCUGGCGGCAUGCCUAACACAUGCAAGUCGAACGAGAUCUUCGGGUCUAGUGGCGCACGGGUGCGUAACGCGUGGGAAUCUGCCCUUUGGUUCGGAAUAACAGUUGGAAACGACUGCUAAUACCGGAUGAUGACGAAAGUCCAAAGAUUUAUCGCCAGAGGAUGAGCCCGCGUAGGAUUAGCUAGUUGGUGUGGUAAAGGCGCACCAAGGCGACGAUCCUUAGCUGGUCUGAGAGGAUGAUAAGCCACACUGGGACUGAGACACGGCCAAGACUCCUACGGGAGGCAGCAGUGGUGAAUAUUGGACAAUGGGCGAAAGCCUGAUCCAGGAAUGACGCGUGAGUGAUGAAGGCCGUAGGGUUGGAAAGCUCUUUUACCCGGGAUGAUAAUGACAGUACCGGGAGAAUAAGCUCCGGCUAACUCCGUGCCAGCAGCCGCCGUAA